UACAGAGGGUGCAAGCGUUGUUCGGAAUUAUUGGGCGUAAAGGGAGUGUAGGCGGUCUUUUAAGUCUUCUGUGAAAUCUACGGGCUUAGCCUGUAACGUGCAGAGGAAACUGGAAGGCUUGAGUGUUGGAGAGGAUAGGGGAAUUCCCGGUGUAGAGGUGAAAUUCGUAGAGAUCGGGAGGAACACCAGUGGCGAAGGCGCCUAUCUGGCUGACAACUGACGCUGAGACUCGAAAGCAUGGGGAGCAAACAGG
rnacentral:rRNA from 1 species